rnacentral:rRNA from 1 species
UACGGAGGGUGCAAGCGUUAAUCGGAAUUACUGGGCGUAAAGCGUGCGCAGGCGGUUUGUUAAGUCCGUUGUGAAAGCCCCGAGCUCAACUUGGGAAUUGCAGUGGAUACUGGCAGGCUGGAGUACGGUAGAGGAAGGUGUAAUUCCCGGUGUAGCAGUGAAAUGCGUAGAGAUCGGAAAGAACACCAACGGCGAAAGCACUCUGCUGGGCCGACACUGACACUGAGAGACGAAAGCUAGGGGAGCGAACAGG